CGGAAUCGCAUGAUACAGUGUAGAAAACUCCGGUGGUAUAAGAUCGGACCCGCGUCUGAUUAGCUAGUUGGUGAGGUAAGGGCUCACCAAGGCGACGAUCAUUAGCCGGACUGAGAGGUUGAACGGCCACAUUGGGACUGAGACACGGCCCAGACUCCUACGGGAGGCAGCAGGUGGGGAAUAUUGCGCAAUGGGGGAAACCCUGACGCAGCAAUGCCGCGUGAAGGAUGAAGGUUUUCGGAUUGUAAACUUCUUUUACUGAGGACGAAAGAAAUGACGGUACUCAGAGAAUAAGCCACGGCUAACUACGUG
rnacentral:rRNA from 1 species